CUAAAAAAAUCAACCAUUUUUCAUCAUCGCCACACAAAUAAACGUCAACACGCCUACAUCGAAAUAACCGACGCGCGUUAAUUUAGCCGGUACCCGUCAUUGCCGCGUUUCAUUUAACAUCGUUUUCGCCGAUGCACAAUACGCAUACUGUACUGUUUAGCGUGUACAGUUCAGGGGGAGCGGACGAGGGCAGUCGAACGGGACUGACAGUGUUGUCCGGCGGCGCCGAGCGCGCACUUAGGGCGGCGCAAUUGAACCGCCGAAAAUUGCGGGCGGUUUGGACG